rnacentral:lncRNA from 1 species
UGCGUAAACAAUUAUUAUAGAUUGCAAUAGACCCUUUUCACGUUCGGUUAAAUCAGAAUAGUUACCGAGUUACUUCCCUUAUCGAAAAAAUCCAGAACGAGGCUCUGGAUGUAAACAGUGUCAAAACCAGGAAGUGAGAAAAAAAGAUACGUUUUUCGUCGUUUUUGAAGAGUGCUGAUAAUGACUGAGCCACAAAGACCCAACAGCUCAAGAGGACGGCAGUGUGCAGUAUAUGGAUGUUAUAAUUUCCUGUAUAAUUUCAGAUGUUACUUGCUGACGGUUCUAAGUCGGAUAUUCAUUUCUUCUCAGUUCCCUAAUCUGUGUUGGUAGACAGACGUAAAAGGGACAGGUGGUGUUGUCUAAUUAAACGUCAACAUGGUCGUGAUGGAUUUGAAAUGUCAAAAAACACUAGAAUUUGUCAUCAGCACUUUCUGAAAGACCAGAUUAAGGUAUCGCUUGUCAAUAAGAUAUGGACUCUUAAACAAGGUGUAGAACCAUGUGUGUUCAGUUGGAACAAAGCCCCAGUUGGUCAAAGAAAAGCACCCAAACAAAGGAUUCCACUAAAUACACUCAGUAUGGAUUCCGAGAACCUGACAGAACCUGGUGACGGGAUUGAUGAUGAGAAGCCAAACCGAGGCAAAAAAUGGUGACCAGCCAAUGUACGCAGACAGAGGUUUCCACGAAGGAAAUUGGCACACAGACGUCCUGGGAGCAUGUUUACGAAAAUAAACUAAAAGAUGAACAUUGUUACAGUUUCUAUAAAUUUGAAGAUGCUGUGAAGGACAUCGGUUCAAAUGACACUUUAAGGCAUCAGAUUGAGACACUAGAAGAAGAUCUUAAGAAGGCAAAAACCAAAAUUUCAGAACUUAAGGCAAUGAUCAAUUUUUUUUAAGAAAACAGAUUCAGCAUUGAAAAGAUUAGACAUGACAAUGAUGCCAUGUCUUUUUAUACUGGCUUUCAAAAUUGUAGUGUUUUUAUAGCAGUGUAUGAAUAUCUUGAAAAUAAAGCAGCCCGUCUCCAAUAUUGGAGAGGGCAGAGUGAACAGACUGACAACAAACAGUACCAGAUUCAAGGGGGAAAGCCAGGCAAGAAGAGGAAACUAUCAUUAAAAGAUGAAUUUUUCAUGGUUUUGAUUACACUCAAAGUUGGACUUUUUGUGAAAGAUAUUGCUGAUAGAUUUGAAAUUUCAGUAUCUCAGUUUUCAAAGAUUUUCACUACUUAGAUAAAUUUCCUACCUCAUGAAUAAGUUUCUCCCAGGAAAUGCAAAAUAUCCAGUCGAUUUUCAUCUUGCAGGUAAAUAAGAAAUAAUGAAUCAUUUAUAUACUUUUAUAUUGAACCUUUGCCAACUGCCGAGAACAAAAGAGCGUGACAAUAUAAAAAUAUGUUAACUAUUACACUACUUCACUUCAGUUAGAUCAGGUGAAUAGCUUUCCAGUAAACAUGUUGCAAUAACAAAAUGAAUACUCUUACUUCCUCUUUGAUCAAAGAUUUUAUUCCGGGCCACUCAGGAAAGGUAUGUGGACAACAACAGGUAAUUACUAUUGGCAUAAUAAGCAUUUUGCUAGCAAUAGUCUUUGUCAUGAUUUACAAGAUUUAUAGGGUCAUGUUUUACCGCUCUCUAUCGCAUGCCAUACCAUUAGUGACCCGAAAUAAAAUCGUUGAUCAAAGAGGAAGGAAGAGAUGCAUUACAGUUCGUAAUUGUUCCAUUAUUUUGUCAUAAUUAUUAUUAUAACGGAAAGAAAAUAUGUAAGCGGCCAUCUAACUCCGAUCCCCAGGUCUGAGUCCUAAUAGAAGUGCACAUAUUUUUAAAACUAGGACAUUAAGCACCCAACCAGGGACCGUGUCAUUACACUGGUUAGUCUCGCUUGCAAUUGUUUAAAGAGAAUUCCUAUAUUUAUUUUCUUUCAUAGAAUUUUUUUCAAAUUCACAUACAUGAUAGGAACAUUUGUGCUGAAAACAAUAAA